rnacentral:rRNA from 1 species
CGGCGGACGGGUGAGUAACACGUGGAUAACCUACCUAUAAGACUGGGAUAACUUCGGGAAACCGGAGCUAAUACCGGAUAAUAUAUUGAACCGCAUGGUUCAAUAGUGAAAGACGGUUUUGCUGUCACUUAUAGAUGGAUCCGCGCCGCAUUAGCUAGUUGGUAAGGUAACGGCUUACCAAGGCAACGAUGCGUAACCGACCUGAGAGGGUGAUCGGCCACACUGGAACUGAGACACGGUCCAG